rnacentral:rRNA from 1 species
CCUACGGGAGGCAGCAGUGGGGAAUCUUGCGCAAUGGGCGAAAGCCUGACGCAGCAACGCCGCGUGCGGGAAGAAGGCUUUCGGGCUGUAAACCGCUUUCAGUAGGAACGAAACUGACGGUACCUACAGAAGAAGGAGCGGCCAACUAUGUGCCAGCAGCCGCGGUGACACAUAGGCUCCAAGCGUUGUCCGGAUUUAUUGGGCGUAAAGAGCUCGUAGGCGGUUGAGUAAGUCGGGUGUGAAAACUUUGGGCUUAACCCAAAGAUGCCACUCGAUACUGCUUUGACUUGAGUUCGGUAGGGGAGUGGGGAAUUCCUUGUGUAGCGGUGAAAUGCGCAGAUAUAAGGAGGAACACCGGUGGCGAAGGCGCCACUCUGGGCCGAUACUGACGCUGAGGAGCGAAAGCGUGGGGAGCAAACAGGAUUAGAUACCCUGGUAGUCCACGCGGUAAACGGUGGUCACUAGGUGUGGGUCUCUUCAAACGAGAUCUGCGCCGUCGCUAACGCAUUAAGUGACCCGCCUGGGGAGUACGGUCGCAAGACUAAAACUCAAAGGAAUUGACGG